UUUUUUUUUUUUUUUUUUCUUAUGUCAGAUUGAACGCUGGCGGCAGGCCUAACACAUGCAAGUCGAACGGUAACAGGAUGUGCUUGCACAUCGCUGACGAGUGGCGGACGGGUGAGUAAUGCUUGGGAACUUGCCUUUGCGAGGGGGAUAACAGUUGGAAACGACUGCUAAUACCGCAUAAUGUCUUCGGACCAAACGGGGCUUCGGCUCCGGCGCAAAGAGAGGCCCAAGUGAGAUUAGCUAGUUGGUAAGGUAAUGGCUUACCAAGGCGACGAUCUCUAGCUGUUCUGAGAGGAAGAUCAGCCACACUGGGACUGAGACACGGCCCAGACUCCUACGGGAGGCAGCAGUGGGGAAUAUUGCACAAUGGGGGAAACCCUGAUGCAGCCAUGCCGCGUGUGUGAAGAAGGCCUUCGGGUUGUAAAGCACUUUCAGUUGUGAGGAAAAGUUAGUAGUUAAUACCUGCUAGCCGUGACGUUAACAACAGAAGAAGCACCGGCUAACUCCGUGCCAGCAGCCGCGGUAAUACGGAGGGUGCGAGCGUUAAUCGGAAUUACUGGGCGUAAAGCGCACGCAGGCGGUUUGUUAAGCUAGAUGUGAAAGCCCCGGGCUCAACCUGGGAUGGUCAUUUAGAACUGGCAGACUAGAGUCUUGGAGAGGGGAGUGGAAUUCCAGGUGUAGCGGUGAAAUGCGUAGAUAUCUGGAGGAACAUCAGUGGCGAAGGCGACUCCCUGGCCAAAGACUGACGCUCAUGUGCGAAAGUGUGGGUAGCGAACAGGAUUAGAUACCCUGGUAGUCCACACCGUAAACGCUGUCUACUAGCUGUGUGUGUCUUUAAGACGUGCGUAGCGAAGCUAACGCGCUAAGUAGACCGCCUAGAGACCGACUUU
rnacentral:rRNA from 1 species